GCCGGGGUGGCGAAACUGGCAGACGCAUCAGCUUUAGGAGCUGACGGAAGAAAUUCCAUGCAGGUUCAAUUCCUGUCCCCGGCACCA
rnacentral:tRNA from 7 species